rnacentral:lncRNA from 1 species
CAGAGUCCUCUGGGGCUUUGGAACACUGACGUCGUCUCAGAAAAAAAAUCAAGAGCCCAAGCCCAGAACAUUGUACUCUGUACCAGAUCUCAGCGUCUUUUUGCCAUUCUUGUUGGUGAAAUAUUCAAAAUUUGGAAUGCUGAGAUUUCUCAAAUCAAUACUGUGGAGAUAAUUAGAUAUUGCAGAGAGGACUCCAGCCAAUAUUGUUGAUGAAAUGGAUGACACAACAGUUGCAUCAAUAGGGGCUCACCAGUGAUUUAAUGCAGACAGUGUCAGUGGUAACCACACUGUGGUUCCUUCAAAAACAUAUGGGAAAGUGAUGGCCAUCUGAGAUCUUUUCAGAACAAAAAGAGCCUAGUAGCUUUUAACAUCAUGCCCCUCAAGGAUAUGAAUGAGCUUUCCACACAUAUUCUGGAAGUAGCCAAUGCAUAUGAUACUGAGCAAAUCUAACAGCAAGGGAGAGCACCUAGCAGCAACCCAGGAAUGGGUGAAGUAGGGAACUUUGGUGGGAAUAGCUUCAUGCCAGGAAAUAGCUUUACAGUGGCCAAAAACUAGGUGUUGGAUUUGAUUAAGGUUUGCCCAAGGUUUGAAAGAUUGAGCUUUCAGGAUCUUAAGAAACAGCUCCAACACAUCUGUAGCCUCAAUAAAGGAAGCUGUGAAUUUUUCUUAGAAUACAGGGAUACAUUUAUCCCACUGUGAAUGAUGAUCAUUUAAAAUCUAU